GGAGAGGUGACCGAGAGGCCGAAGGUGCGCGCCUGCUAAGCGCGUGUGGGUUAACGCCCACCGAGGGUUCGAAUCCCUCCCUCUCCGCCA
rnacentral:tRNA from 1 species